AUCGAAAUCACACCACUGCACUCCAGCCUGGGUGAUGAGACUCUGUUGCUAAAUAAAUAAAAUUGGUAGCAAGUCAUUGGUCCAAAGAGCAGCCAGCUCCCUGUUAUUACACACCAGACUAUGAUAGGACAUUUCUCUUUCCUUGUCUUGCUGUUUUCCAGUCUUCUUUCUGCCCCAUUUCUGCCUUAGACUUGCCAGUAGUUUUCUGCUCAGCUUCACUUGCAGAAGUAACAACAGCCAAUGUGCUUCAUACCCUACAAAAGGACAUGUCCCUCUUUCUUUCCACGUGCCCAGAAAGGGCAUUUUGGAGACAGUUGGCUAAGAGGAACUGGAAGUAGAAAGAGAGAAAGAUAUGAAGAGCUUGCGUGAGGCCUAGAAUUCUAGUUCUUUGCCCUCAGAAUAAUAAAAGGGGUUUGCUGUCACUGUUUUAGAGGUUCUAGAAGAUUGGUCAAGCUUUCCUCUUAAUGAUUCAAGGCUGGAUGAUGAACCAAAUACAUUACCCACUUCCUUUGUGUUGUAAGUAAGCUCCAUUGUAUGUGAUGGAACUUGAAUUGUAUCCUAAUAGUAAAUGAAGCAAAGGGAAAAAGUAGUUGAGGGAGACAAAAUGAACAGUCUUUCCACAAAUCUAAUAUUUCACUUCUUUAUAGGUACUUCUUGCACCUCACUUCUGGCAGAGCGGAGGUGGGUAUUAGAUCUGGCCAAUUGCCAGUGCCCUGGAGGUGGCCCAGUGACUUAGAGAAGGCUGGUUUAAUGGAAUCCUACCUGGCCUUUCAGCAUCAGAAUCGCUUCUGGCCUUAUUGCCAUGCUUGAACCUGACAUCCAUUCUCAUUGGGUUUGCUUAAGAGUAGGGCAAGCUGCAGGUGCUGUGUAGCAUCUGCCUCAGGGAUGAGCCUCUUGGCUUUAGAGCAGAAACCUUGGUAAGGGCAUGUAUUUAACCACCUGCCUCUACGAAGAAAUAGAGGCAGUUUCCGAACAGGUGUACAAAUCUAAAUGUUUUCCUUAGAAAUCUGAAUGCCACCUGCCAUGACAAGCUGAUCUCCCUUCUGCUUCUUAAAUGGCACACUAACUUCCUGACACAAAUGAAAAAUACAACUAUAGAACUAUUCAAAACUAGAAAAUCAUGUUGAUACCAAGUAGCUUAAUAUAAUGGAAUAUGAACUCGGCGUCACCAGGGACAUGAUGGGGUAACUUGCCAAUAUCCCAAGUGAAGCUCAAGUUCUUGUACCAUAGUGGCUGCCUCUCGUCUUAAAGGACUUGCUCUCUAGAGAGGAAGCUCAUUCCAUGUUCAUGCAAUGUUACGGUUAACGACUAGUCCUGUGGCAACAAACUGCCUGAUUGGAAUACUGGCUUCCCUACUUACUAGCCGUUUAAGUCAGUACUAAACACUUAACUUUUCCGAGCUUUGUUUUCUUCAUCAGCAAAAUUAGAGCCAUAACAGUAAUGAUUUCAUAGGGUUGUUGAAAAGAUUGAAAGAAAAAAAAAUGUAUUUAAAGCUCUUAGAGUAGACUCCCUGACUGUCUGAGGAUAGACUGCCAUCAUGAAUGACAUGGUAACUAUCUGAACUAGAAAGUUCAUGACCAACCGAUGACUUCAGAGGAAACAAAUGGUCAUUGAUGUCCUUCACCCCGGGAAGGCAACAGUACCGUACCUAAGACAGAAAUUCGGGAAAAACUAGCCAAAAUGUACAAGACCACACUGGAUGUCAUCUUUGUACCUGGAUUCAGAACUCAUUUUGGUGGUGGCAAGACAACUUUCUUUGGCAUGAUUUAUGAUUUCUUGGAUUGUGCAAAGAAAUAUGAAUCCAAACAUGGCUUUGCAAGACAUGGUCUGUAUGAGAAGAGAAAGACCUCAAGAAAGCAACGAGAGGAACACAAGAACAGAAUGAGGAAAGUCAGGGGGACUGCAAAGGCCAAUGUUCGUGUCGCCAAAAAGAAAUGAAGUGUCUAGCAGUGAGCUGGAGACUGGAUCACAGCUGAAGGGGUAAAGGCAUUGCAAUGAUGUUAUCUGUGGCCAUUGUGGAUUUUUCACAGGAAGGUUAAUAAACUAAAAACUUUCAUGUGGAAAAAAAAA